ensembl:lincRNA 4930471M09Rik RIKEN cDNA 4930471M09 gene
GUGCAGCUACCUUGGCAUUCUAGCUGUCGGUUCAUAUUCGGGUGGAACUGGCCGUUUGAACACUCUUGAGAACUGUAUUCUCAUAUCCGUAGCCCAUCACUUGACUUCUAGGUAUUCAUUUUUUGAGUCUUUGUAUAUUCUAGACAUUAACCCUGUCCUGUUCAGCUAGCAAGGUACUGCACGGUCCAAACUCGCCCUCCCGGGCGACCAGCUCAUAAUGACCUCCCGCCCUCAGUCUUAUCGCUCAUUUUUUUGUGGGGUGAGUGAGCAGGCCCCGUAGCACUAACUCCUGGAACCAGAGUAUGUGGAACCACAUGAGAGUGAGCUCGAAAACUGUAAAACAGUUGGUUUUACAUCUAUGAUACAUCUUUUAGUAUGUUUAAGAGCUAAUCCCAUCCAUUUGUAAUUUUGAUUGUAAACUUUGGAUAAGAUUUUUUCCAGAAGAAACACUGACAUUUGCUUUGUGAUUGAGUGAGUGUUCGCUGAGAGAACAGAUUGUCAAGAGUUUCUGAACCAAACUGUGUUUUCGACUGUGCAAAAGAACGUAAAUUCCAGGAACCAAACUCACGUCAUCGGUAUUGGCAACCAGUUCAUCUGCGCUGAGCACACCUGUAGGCCUCCUGCUCUGAGCCUUUAGCUGGCGCUGCAUGAUCUGGAACAUGGACACGUCUGCUUUCCCUUCAUAUCUUACAAGUUCCACAGUCAGGACAAGAUAAAAUCAACAUACAACCUUGAAUUUCAGACAAUAAUUAUUUUUUGCUACAUGACUAGAAUUUUUUAUAUUAUUAAAUAAUUCAGAAAUAUUAUACUUGAAUUAAAGUAAAAGCUUGCAUCGCAUGAGAAAAAAUCUUAUAUAUGGAUGGGGCACAUGACUUGGAGCAGCAGAGAGAGUGGGCGUGACUUCUGGACACCUUGAAGUGGAGGUUUUAUUACGUGGAAUAAGGCUGAACUGAAAAACAACAACAUGUCUGCCUGAGAGUAGUGGAGCUGUCAUUGUCUGAAGUUGGCGAGCAAGGCUAGAUCUGGGGUAAGGAAUCUUCUUGCUGUUCUCCCU